UAUUAUUAUUAUUAUUAUUAUUAUUAUUAUUAUUAUUGGACCAGAUGGUGGGAAUGGUGAUGCUGGAAAGCUUCAGUGUGGAGAAACACUAUGAUUCUUUGAUGAACACCAACAAGUUUAUGCUACCUGUGUCAGAGUAUCUGGUUUCUAACGAGGAUGAAGAGAAGAAGAAGCUGUUGGGGCUGCUGUCUCAUCACGAUAAGAACGUCAUCACUAUAGUGUGGCAGACCCCUCUUUCGUGGUUAUCUUUUCUAGUGAGGCUAUUUGGAUGUGGAUGAAUGCGCGAACGUAUUCAGUGUUGUAAAACGUCAAAGUGGGAGGCAGCGUGAGCAAAUAUAUUCAACUAUCAUGUUCUUACUACCAGAUGAUGACUUUGUUAUAGAACCAUUGCCUGAGCUUAUGGAUGAGAGUCAUCCUGCUUUGUUCAGGCCCUAUACUUAUGGUGAAUUUGUCCACUUCUGUCACUUUGACGGCAAGGAUGAAGAUGAGUGUUUAGUAGGGUCUAAGAGUGAAGGUGGAUCAAGACUAAGGUUUGUUGAUCAUCAUCUUAGACAACAACGUGCACUAAAGCAGCUCGGAAUGAUAUAACACAAUGCUUGGAGACCGCAGACAGGAUUGCUGGAAGGCUCUAUUUUGGUUCUCCGUGCUGGUCUUUUUAAACACUUCCUUCAUCCGUAUUCGAAGGAUUGAGAUAAGAUUAUGCUUGCGAAGCAAACAUGAUUGACAAGAAGCCAAGUAUCGAGAACUAUAUACAUGUAUACAUGUAUAUAUGUGUUAAACACCAAUACGGGCAAAAUGGAGCAGUGUAUAAUUUCUUUAAAAAAAAUGAUGGUUAUUUCUUGCAAAAAUUUUUCUUGGUGUUUUCUUUUGUAUUUAUUUCUUUAUAACUUUAUUGAAUUUUCAAACAAUAAUUGAAAGUGAUGGUUUUGCAGUUCAAAGUUCAUGUUCAUUGGCUAAACCAUCAUAGACUUUGGUUGUUUGCCUGAUGCAUUAGUUUACUCAAGUAUUUGAAUAGCUGUCAAAAAAUUUUAGUCACAUGAUCCAUGAAAUUAAAUUUUUUAUGGACUGUCAUAUACUACUGAUUAGUAGAUAUAUCUGAAAAAUAAUUGCGUCUUACUAUAGUCGCCAACAUGUUAUGCACUUCAGAGUUGGGAUCUUUCAAUUGCUUAAGCAUCUCUCGUAGGUGACAAAUUGUUAGGGAGAGAUAGAGAAGGAAAUAAAAUUGGUAGGCUGAUGACAUGUUUUGAUCAAUUCAUGGUAAAUUCUAAUCGAAGCUCAUAAAAUGGAUUACUUGUCUGUUUUAGAACAUCUUACACUGAAAGUGUGAAUUGUGAAAUCCAUUAAAAAUGACAUAAUCCUAUUUGACUGAUCAUCAUCUAUUCGUGAAUCAAAGCAAACUAAUGUUGCUGGUGGACAAAAGCUUUGGUUGCUUAUAUUUGUUAACAAUUUACUUUAUUUUAGUAAAUUUUGAUUUCAUUUUAAGGAAGCUUCUUGAUGGACUGAAGAGACAUUAGUUUGUGCUCAACUUGCUCAGAGCCAAAUAUUCAUAUCAGUUUGGAUAUUUAAGCAACACAACUAUUGGUAUGAGACCUUUAGAUGUUGGUUUAUAAAAGUUUAGUAGUUCGUAAAUUUAUUCUGUUAGUGCAACUUGAUUCUAGUGUGGCAAAACAUUAACUGAUUCAGGUGUGGAACAUGUGGGCAUCUCUCUUCAUGGUGUCAAAAUUUGGCCUUUCCCUGUUGAAUGUCAACCUAAAUUGCUGUCUUAUUUUAGCAAUAUUUGAAUGAAUCAUCUCAUGAUAUGUGCAAAUCCAGCUCUUCCCACAUCAAUCAUCCUACUUAAAUUGAUCUCGUGGAUGAUAAUUUGAUGUUAAAUAUAUAUUGAAUUGUAAAAACCUUUUGGGAGAGGGAGCUCUUUACAGUGAAUCUAAAUUUGACUCUAUGAAGUGAAUAUGAGUCUCACCCAAUCUAAAACCUGACUGAUGUUGGAAUUGUUCCCAUGCGGGUCAAAUUUGACCUUAAGUGUUUUCCUCCUUUCAUAAAGACCAUGCUUAUGUGGUUUGGCCCUUUCAUACUGUCAAAUCUUUGACCUUUAGCUUGCUUGAAUCUAGGAAUAUUAAAUUGGCAUCUGGGUACAAAGGAAUUUUUUUCAACCUCGCUUUUCUUACUUGGAAUAUGAUAACUAUGAUAACUUGUUGCUAGGAAGGUCUGAAGAAUUUUCUUUUGCCUUUUGUUUUCAUUUUCUCCUUAAAGUAGAAUUAAAUUGAAAAAAAAAUAUGGCAAUGUGUUUCUCCUUAAAUUUCUCAAACAUUAUUAAAUAUAGCAAUGUGUUUAUCUGAAUGUAGAUUAAAAAAAGAAAUAGAAUGUAUGAAAAUUUGCUGCUUAGUAUUAGUUAUGGCUUAUUAUUGCUACAUCAUAUGCUGACCCUUAAAUAAAAAUUUUUUCAGUACCAACAGGAGAGCUAUUCUCAGUAAAACUACAUUAUAUGGUGGAGAACAUUAAAGGCAAUGCAGGUUAUAUUGAUUAUUGCUGUGCAAAUCAAAUAUCUAGGUUGGAAUUGCUUUCAAUGGCCACAGAGUUUGGGUUAGAUGUACAAGGUUGUACUUUAUGUUGGUUAGAUGUAUAUGGCGAGGAUAAAGGGUUAAAGGAGAUUCAAAAUGAUUUAGAUGCCCUAAAAAUGGCAAUGACUGUAGGGCGAAGUAAGGAAGCAUGUGUGUAUGUUAAACUUGCUGGGAUUAGUUGUGUUGAAGGUUCUAAUGGUGAAGGUAUAAAGGCAGAACAAAUUGGUAGGUUGGAGUUAUUGAAAGGAGUGAAAGAAGAUGAAGUUGGUGCUGAAGAUAAUCUAGAAGACAUUUUAGUGGACGGGCAAGGAGAGGGGAACCUAGUGGAUGAGGAGAAUGAUUUGCAUGACUCAGGUUAUAAUAUUAAUGAUGGGGAUACUAAUGUAGAAGAUGGGGAUAAUGUUACAAGACAAAGGCCUGAGGUAGACAUAGAUGGACAACCUGGAGAAAUAGGAAGUGUGAUGGUAGUGUGGAGUCAGACUAUGCUAGGUUUGAAGAACUCCAAUCAUGUUCUUCAAUAGACAAGGAUGAGUUGGUGACUAGCAAACCUAGAUAUGGGGAAUUCAAUAAUGAGGUGGAUAUCAAGAACCCUCAGGUUAAGAUAGGAACGAAAUUUGGUAGCUUCAAAUAGUUUAGGGAGGUUGUUAGAAGUUAUGGGAUUAAAAAUCGAUAUGUGAUGAAAUUCAAGCCAAAUAACAAGAAGAAAUGCAAGGCAUUUUGUAAGAAGGGGUGCCCUUUCUACCUAUGGGUCUCCCCUAUAGUGAAUGAUAGGAGCACAAUACAAAUUAAGAUUGGGAAUUUGGUACAUGAGUGUAUAAGAGAUCAUGUCAAUAGGCAUGUUAAUGCACAAUGGAUUUCAAACAUUUAUUUGAAACAAUUUAGGGAAGAUCCAUCUUAGAAACUUACUGGGGGCAUUCAAGCUGUGAAGACAAACUAGGAAGUUGAUAUUAGCAGGCUUAAGGCCUACAGGGCAAAGUGUAUUGCACAAAGGAUCAUUGAUGGGGAUGAAGAGACUCAAAUGGCAAGGUUGCAUGACUAUAAGCAGGAGCUAUUGAAGACUCACCCUAGUUCCACCAUCAUUGUGAAUUGCAAUGAUGAAGGUGUAUUUGAAGCCCUUUAUGUCUACCUAUCUCCAAUAAGAGAAGGAAUUUCAGUUGUAGGCAUCUCAUUUCUGUGGAUAGAUGCUUCUUGAAAGGCUUGUAUGGAGGGCAACUUCUUUGUGCUGUUGGGAUAGAUGCAAAUGAUUGCAUCUAUCCCAUUUCUUGGGCUGUGGUGAAGAAGGAAAACAAGGACAACUAGAAGUGGUUCUUGGAGGUGUUAGCUGAAGACCUGAGGAUAACUGACAACAAGAAGUGGGCUUUCAUAUCAGAUAGACAAAAGGGUUUAAUGGCUGCAAUUGUGGAGGUAUUUCCAUUUAGUGAGCAUAGGUAUUGUGUGAGGCACAUUCACACUAACUUUAAGAAAACAUUUAGGGGCAAAGCUCUUAAGGACCAACUCUGGGCUUGUGUAAGGGCAUCCUAUUAUUCUGCAUUUGAGAGAGAGAUGGAAAUUUUGGAGGGGAUGUUUAUUCAAGCCUAUGAGUAUAUGAAAACAAAUAGAACCAAUGCAAUGGAGUAUGUCACACUUCCAAAAUCAAUUUAAGUGUGACAUCCUUUUGAAUAAUUUGUGUGAAUGUUUUAAUAGCAACAUUGUAGAAGCCAGGAUAAAGGGUAUCAUCACCAUGAUUGAGAUGAUUAGGACUCUAUUGAUGAAAAGAAUUCAGAAAAAGGAGAGAUGCAAUGCAAAAAGUAACAACAAUGUAUUGUCUUAGAAUAUUAAAAAAACUUGAAAAUUUCAAACAAGCUAGUUGGCUUUAUACCAUAAUCUGGUCAGGGGGAUAUGUAUCAAGUUGGAGGUCCUGACGGCUAGUUUGUGGUUAAGAAAAAGCAUUGUUGUUGUUCUUGUAGAAAAUGGCAGUUGAGUGGUGUGCCCUACAGCCAUGUAAUAUCUGUCCUGUAUUAUAAUAAUGGAAAAGCUGAAAAUUACUUAGACAAAUGGUACAAAGUUAGCACUUACAUGGAAACAUAUUCCCACAUACUUUACCCAACACAUGAUAGAGGGUCAUGGUCAAGGAGUGGGUACCUACCUGUGAUCCCACCAAAACCAGUAAACAAAAGGAGGGGUAGGAAAACUUUGCUGAGGAGAAAGGAAAUUGUUGAACAAAGUGGCAUCAACAAAAACAGAGUUAGUAAGAAGGGAGUGAGGAUGAAGUGUAGCAUCUAUGGUACAAUGGGACACAACAAGAGGUUCCAUGGAACUUAGGCCAACAAAGCUUGUGCAAGUGCAACAAAUACAGCUUCAGGAUCUAACACAGGCAUUGAACAGCCUUUGUCCCAAGUGGAUAUCACCCAAGCCUCAGAAGAGCCCUUAUCAAUGUUAUUGAAAUCCUGUUGAAGGAGUCCAGGAAGCAGUAUUGGUAAACAGACAACACAACAACUCAAGGAUCACAAUAUCCUCUGUCAUAGGUGAGUUUAUGUCUACUAUAGGUUGUUAUAGACCCACUUUCAACAUAUAAUGUGGACCAGACCUCAGCAGGAACUCAGUCCAAAAAUACAAGAUUAACUAGAAGGGGUGGUAAAAAAUCAAGCAACAUUCAAAAGGAAGAUGUAGUACGUGACAUACACCCACAUAGGAAACACAAGAAUGCUGCAGAAGGGACAAGAGCAAGGGAUCCUGACAAAAGGAAGAGGGUGUGGCUACCACUAGGAGUUGGAGCUUUUUUUAGUUCAAAUUAAUCAUUUUUAAAAUGGAGUGGUUAUGUAACCUUUUUUUUUUGGUCAGUUGUUUACUAGAAUACUUACAAGUUUUUGUCAAUUGGGUACCAUGCACUAAACAUUAUACUCAAUGUGAUUAUUUGGUGCAUUGUUUACCAUGCCAAUUUUGGCUCUGUAAUUUUUUGUUCAGGCCUAGCUUGAAAACAUCUUGUACCCACUGUUACAGUCAAUGAAAAAUUUGCAGUCUUCCUUUUUAUUUU